GGCUAGGUAGCUCAGCUGGUUAGAGCACGCGACUCAUAAUCGCGGGGUCGGGGGUUCGAGUCCCCCUCGCCACCA
rnacentral:tRNA from 1 species